UUCUGGUUGAUCCUGCCAGAGGCUACCGCUAUUGGAGUUCGAUUAAGCCAUGCGAGUCGAGAGUCUUAGGGACUCGGCGUACCGCUCAGUAACACGUGGGUAACCUGCCCUAUGCUGGGGAAUAACCUCGGGAAACUGAGAAUAAUGCCCCAUAGUUCACUACGCCUGGAACGGUGAGUGGAUGAAAGCUCCGGCGGCAUAGGAUGGGCCUGCGGCGUAUCAGGUCGUAGGGGGUGUAACGUACCCUCUAGCCAUCGACGCGUACGGGUGUUGGGAGACAUAGCCCGGAGAUGGAUUCUGAGACACGAAUCCAGACCCUACGGGGUGCAGCAGGCGCGAAAACUUGGCAAUGCGAGAAAUCGUGACCAGGGAACUCCAAGUGGCUGGGGUAAGACCCAGUCUUUUCUUGACUCUUCAAAGGUCUUGGAAUAAGAGGUGGGUAAGGACGGUGCCAGCCGCCGCGGUAAUACCGGCGCCUCAAGUGGUAGUCGAUUUUAUUGGGCCUAAAACGUCCGUAGCCUGUUUGGUACAUUCGUGGGUAAAUCAACCAGCUCAACUGGUUGAAUUCUGCGAGCACGGCCAGACUUGGGACCGGGAGAGGUGUGGGGUACGCUCAGGGUAGGGGUAAAAUCCUGUCAUCCUGAGCGGACCACCUGUUGCGAAGGCGCCACACUAGAACGGAUCCGACGGUCAGGGACGAAGCCUAGGGGCACGAACCGGAUUAGAUACCCGGGUAGUCCUAGGUGUAAACGCUGUGGACUUGGUGUUGGGGAUUCUCCGAGGAUUCUCAGUGCCGAAGCGAAGGUGAUAAGUCCACUGCCUGGGGAGUACGGUCGCAAGGCUGAAACUUAAAGGAAUUGGCGGGGGAGCACCGCAACCUGAGGAUUGUGCGGUUUAAUUGGAGUCAACGCCGGGA
rnacentral:rRNA from 1 species